UAAUUGAAGAGUUUGAUCAUGGCUCAGAUUGAACGCUGGCGGCAGGCCUAACACAUGCAAGUCGAGCGGUAACAGGGGAAGCUUGCUUCUCGCUGACGAGCGGCGGACGGGUGAGUAAUGUAUGGGGAUCUGCC
rnacentral:rRNA from 1 species